CCGCUGACUGGCAACUUCGUCAGCACUCAAUAUAAGAUUUGAAUAUCAUCUGUCAGCAUUCCAAGUAGCUCAGAGUCUGCUCCUGUUUGUUUGAAAACUUUUGGUCGCCAAAUCGGAAAUGCGCCGACUGGCUAAAUGCAAAACCAGAAAACCCGUUUCGGUUUCUGGAGAAGAAGCCAUUCGAGAUCAAAACCUGGAACGCUGAGGGAUACAAACAAAGAAGAGGUAAAAAGUGCAUCCCAGGGAACACUGAAUCGCAACGAGGAAGUAACCAAUGUGUUGAUACGAGAUUAGCUAAUUGAAAGCUUAAAUAUGCAAGCCAGUCUACCCGCAGCUCAACUUAUGCUAAUUACCGUCGACUGUCAGAUUUAAAUUCUUUUCCAUGUGUUGUAGUCCGUGACGUCAGGUGGCAACAGAGGCACUCGAAUUGGCGUAACCUUUGACCCCAGACAGAGCGCUUAGCAUACCGAAAAAUUAACUAAAACAAGUCUUGGGGGAGCCACUAAGUCAGCAAUUCAAAUAAUUCGUUUCGAAUAAAUCGACAAUUCCUGACAGAUAACUAAUCGUUUAAAAAACUCGAAAUGUGUGUAGAAAGAAGCAGUCAUUAGCAACAACAAAAAGCGCCGAAUUUAAUUAACGUUCUUAGUCAGAUUUGGCAAUUAUUACUUUAGUGCUUGAGGUGAUCGAUUUUGUUUUCGUUAUGUGUACAUAUACUCUAAAUAUAAGGGUAUUCCUAAACAGGCUUAUUAAACACGUCGCAUGUCCAAUUGAGGAUGGUGCAUUUUAAUUCCCCUUAAAUAAUAUUAAUAAUUGGAUUGUAACCAUGUCACGUAGAAGCGCAAUCCAUACACUUGAACAAUUAACAAAGAAACGCAUGUACUUUGAGCAAAGUGAUUAAUCGCUUGUUUACUUUUAAUUACUCAUUGGAGUCAUAGGUCAGUGACAACAAAAAUAAAUAGAUAUGCAAGAAGCUAAAAGUGGGAAUUUGUGAAAUCCAUUCUGAGAUUCGUAAAUCGAAGUUGAAUUGUGAAACAAUCUAUGAAAUUUAAUUUAGUCUAGUUAAGAAAUGAAUU